UACGAAGGGGGCUAGCGUUGCUCGGAAUUACUGGGCGUAAAGCGCACGUAGGCGGCUUUCUAAGUCGGGGGUGAAAUCCUGGAGCUCAACUCCAGAACUGCCUUCGAUACUGGAGAGCUCGAGUCCGGGAGAGGUGAGUGGAACUGCGAGUGUAGAGGUGAAAUCGUAGAUAUUCGCAAGAACACCAGUGGCGAAGGCGGCUCACUGGCCCGGUACUGACGCUGAGGUGCGAAAGCGUGGGGAGCAACAGG
rnacentral:rRNA from 1 species